UUUCAAAGCUUUUUCUAAGCUCUUCAUCUCCCCCUGGUGCUGCAGAAAAGAGCCCUGGGGAGGAGAAAGAUGAUACACUUAUCCAUGCAAUUGCAGAGAACAGUGAAGCUGGGUGCACAAGAGCAAUGCAAUGCCAGUUUCAAGGAUUUUGAUCAUAGCAAAGAAUUGAUGGAUACCAACAUCAAAAUCCAACCACAGGAAGGUGAGAGCAUGAUAACGUACAUUUUCCUGGUCUGCAGUCACACAAAGUAAUCUUGUUUUGCUUAAAACUUGGGGGAAUUUGAGGGAAAGUUGAAAAAAAAAAAAAAGCAGUGAGAAGCCGCAGACCUCCACAUCAAAGCCAAGUAUUGCUCUGAAUGUGAGUUUCUCCAUUUUAGGCAGUGAGAGACUGAAUGGUCGAGGAUGCCAAGCCACAAUUCUCACUGCUUUACUUGGCACACCAGAGCAAGUAGAUAGUCAUCUGUGGACCAACACAAUAGAAAAUAAAAUUUAAAAAAACUGUCGUCC